GAUGAACGCUAGCUACAGGCUUAACACAUGCAAGUCGAGGGGCAGCAUGGGCUUAGCUUGCUAAGCCCGAUGGCGACCGGCGCACGGGUGAGUAACACGUAUCCAACCUUCCGGUAACUCCGGUAUAGCCUUUCGAAAGAAAGAUUAAUCCCGGAUAGUAUGGUGAUUCCGCAUGGUUUCUCCAUUAAAGGAUUCCGGUUACCGAUGGGGAUGCGUUCCAUUAGGCAGUUGGCGGGGUAACGGCCCACCAAACCUACGAUGGAUAGGGGAGCUGAGAGGCUGACCCCCCACACUGGGACUGAGACACGGCCCAG
rnacentral:rRNA from 1 species